AUGUAAUCGGUGUAGAGAC
rnacentral:piRNA from 1 species